UACGUAGGGAGCAAGCGUUGUCCGGAAUCAUUGGGCGUAAAGCGCGCGUAGGUGGCCCUGUAAGUCCGUUGUGAAAGUCAAAGGCUCAACCUUUGAAAGCCGAUGGAUACUGCAGGACUAGAGUACGGAAGAGGCGAGUGGAAUUCCCGGUGUAGCGGUGAAAUGCGCAGAUAUCAGGAAGAACACCAAUGGCGAAAGCAGCUCUCUGGGACGGUACUGACGCUGAGACGCGAAAGCGUGGGGAGCGAACAGG
rnacentral:rRNA from 1 species